rnacentral:rRNA from 1 species
AAUCAACGCUGGCGGCGUGCCUCAGACAUGCAAGUCGAACGAUUAAACUUUCCUUCGGGAAAGAUAUAAAGUGGCGCACGGGUGAGUAACACGUAAGUAAUCUGCCUUUGAGUGGGAGUAACAUCGGGAACCGAUGCUAAUACCGCAUAAUGCANCGGCACCGCAAGGUGACAGUUGUUAAGGAGCAAUCCGCUUAAAGAGGAGCUUGCGGCAGAUUAGCUAGUUGGUAAGGUAAUGGCUUACCAAGGCUACGAUCUGUAUCCGGUCUAAGAGGACGGUCGGACACACUGACACUGAUAACGGGUCGAGACUCCUACGGGAGGGCAGCAGUCGGGAAUUUU